rnacentral:rRNA from 1 species
AUACGAAGGUCCCAAGCGUUAUUCGGAAUCACUGGGUGUAAAGAGUACGUAGGCGGUUCGGUAAGUCAGGUGUGAAAUCCCGAAGCUCAACUUCGGAACUGCAUCCGAUACUGCCAGACUAGAGUAAUGGAGAGGCAGGUGGAAUUCUCGGUGUAGCAGUGAAAUGCGUGGAUAUCGAGAGGAAGACCAAUGGCGAAGGCAGCCUGCUGGACAUUUACUGCCGCUGAGGUACGAAGGCUAGGGGAGCGAAAGGGAUUAGAAACCCCAGUAGUCC